UACGGAGGGUGCAAGCGUUGUCCGGAUUUAUUGGGUUUAAAGGGUGCGUAGGCGGUUUAUUAAGUCAGUGUUUAAAGUCAUCAGCUUAACUGGUGGAGUGGCAUUGAUACUGAUAAACUUGAGUAAAGUUGAGGUGGGCGGAAUUUAUGGUGUAGCGGUGAAAUGCAUAGAUACCAUAAAGAACACCGAUUGCGAAGGCAGCUCACUAAGCUUUAACUGACGCUGAGGCACGAAAGCGUGGGGAUCAAACAGG
rnacentral:rRNA from 1 species